rnacentral:rRNA from 1 species
CAUUACUGAGUUAUUAAAACUCCAAACCCUUUGUGAACCUUACUGUCGUUGCCUCGGCGUGAGCUACGGCUACCCUGUAGUUACCCUAUAGCUACCCUGCAGCUACCCUAUAGUUGACCAGUGGCUACCCUGUAGUUACCCUAUAGCUACCCUGCAGCUACCCUGCAGCUACCCUAUAGUUGACCAGUGGCUACCCUGUAGUUACCCUAUAGCUACCCUGCAGCUACCCUAUAGUUGACCAGUAGCUACCCUGUAGCCGGCUUAUGGCCCGCCGAAGGACCGCUAAACUCUUGUUUUUUACCACUGUUUCUCUGAAUUGUAAACUUAAAUAAGUUAAAACUUUCAACAACGGAUCUCUUGGUUCUGGCAUCGAUGAAGAACGCAGCGAAAUGCGAUAAGUAAUGUGAAUUGCAGAAUUCAGUGAAUCAUCGAAUCUUUGAACGCACAUUGCGCCCAUUAGUAUUCUAGUGGGCAUGCCUAUUCGAGCGUCAUUUCGACCCUUAAGCCCCUGUUGCUUAGCGUUGGGAAUCUACAGCGUAGUUCCUUAAAGUUAGUGGCGGAGUUAGGGUACACUCUCAGCGUAGUAAUCUUUCUCGCUCGUGUGGUGGCCCUGGCUGCUAGCCGUUAAACCCCUAUAUUUUCUAGUGGUUGACCUCGGAUUAGGUAGGAAUACCCGCUGA